GUCUACGGCCAUGCUACGCUGAACCAACCCGAUCCUGUCUGAUCUCGGAGGCUAAGCAGGGUCAGACCUGGUUAGUACUGGGAUGGGAGACUACCUAGGAAGACUAGGUGCUGUAAGUU
rnacentral:rRNA from 1 species